GAUUGUUCAGUAGAGUUAAUAAUUACUUAGUGAAAUAAUUCAUAUUUAUAUUUUUUUAAAUAUUUUCAAUGAAAUGAACAAAAACUGUUCAAGAAUCUUUCUGUUUGGCUCGUUACUGUUAGUUUUUAACUAUUAACAACUUACAAAACAUACUCUUUAUGCAUAUCUGUGAUACAAACAGUACUUUGUAAUAGUUUAUUUGUAGAAAUGCAAAGCAAAAGAAAGAUUUAAUAAACGAUUCAUUGUUAUAAGAUAAAUAGGCUGGUAUUAUGUUUGCUUAAAUUUUGUACUGUAAAAUACACUGGAGCCCGCCAUGACAGGACCAAAGAGGAGCAUCACUAAAUCCGAUCCUGACCGUUUACAGCUUGUCAUAGAGAUCAUAGAGUGCAUUCAAUUUUAUUACAGGUUGGAAGCAUGUUUUUAUUCGGUGUUUCGACAAAUUCGACAAUUGUCCCAAACCCGUACAUAUAAUUAUUUAAUAUUGAGCUGGCUUGCGGAAAGGAGAAAAUAAAAGACUUCUAUAUACUCUUGCUGAGCGAGGGAGUCUGUUCAGCAAGUUCUUGACUGCUGAUGACUUAGUAGCCUAAUUUAAAUGAAUGAUUUUGCUUUGAAGAGUGUCCUGUUGUCUGCUACGUCAAAUUAUUGGCAGUAAGCGGCACAUUCAUUCAUAGAAGAGGGAGGUCCAUAUAGGCUGAGCUUGAGUCUUGUUGGACGUCUGGCACAGGGUUGUCGGCAAACAAGACUUGGGCAACAAGGAAACCUCUUUGUUGUACUUCAAAAGAAGACUUUCGGGUCUCUCUAGGAGAAAUAAGAGAUAAGAAAGAGAAAUAGGUGCUGGGUGCUGAUCAUUUGAAUGCAUGUAGAAGUUCAGAAACUCUAGCAUCAGAGUAGAGGUAUCUGCUCGUGGAAAGAGGAAACAUUAUUAAGGUGUCACACGCUGUGGGUGAACAUCACAACUUGACCGAUCUCUCAAGACAUGUAAACGUUUCUUCGCUGCCUCAACCUUUUGGCUAUAUGAAGGAAAGCCACAAAGGAGAGAAAUAUACGAGCUUGACUACAAGAGUGAUUGUAAGGCCAUUUAGGUUUUGGAAGCCGACUUAUUGGAACCAAGAGAGUGAAGACAUGGAUAAAACCAUGUCGCGAGAUAACUAGCGUUCUGCUGGCUACAUAUGCUCGUAUUCCCAUUACGCUGAUAUAGCAAGUGAUUGGGGCCGGCUGCCAAUGUACUCCAAUAUUUAUGAUACAACAAAAUGUAAAAACUAUUUACCUAACGGUACUGCUGGGGAGUUUGUCUCGCCGUUUCUGUGAGGGGUG